UCUAUAUACAUCUAUAUAUUUAAAUCACUCAAGGUGUUGAUUUUGAAUUAAAAUUCGACACAGGAAUGUGUUUUUUCAAAUGAAAUACAUUUUAAAUGUAUUUGUGUGAAUACAAUUUUUGUUGCCCAAACCUGAAGUGAUAUGAAUGUUUAAUUUAAAAAAUUGAGAGGAGGAGUGGACAGUUUCAUAUUUUGCAAAUACAGUUUCUAUCCUAAUUAUUUUUCUACUUCUUUUCUUUUAAUUUUCAGUUGAUUUUGUUAUCAUGUGGACUAAGAGACACAGGAAAACAAAAUCCUCUGACAAAUUAAAUAAAAUAAUGUAUAUAGUUAGAGGACAUUAAGCCGGUAACAUUAAUUUAUUUUUUCUAUGUUUGUUCAUAAAAUUAUUUGCAAACCAUGUACCUACCGACUCUGUUCUUGAAAGAAAAAAUCCAUGAACCUCAACUCAACUUUUUAUCAUUUGACUUCAUAGAGUGAUCAAAUAAAAUGCUUAAAAUUAUAUUUUUGUAUGUCUGUAGUAUUCUUUCUUUAAUCAUAUAUGUCUAUGCAUAGUGAAUAUUAGGACAAAUCUGAUGCAUAUGAUAUUUGGUGUAUUAAAGUGAGG